AUUCCUUUGAACACUCAGCUUUCUGAAAUGGUGUCCCACCGCAAGGACUGGAGAAGGGUAAACCUCAGGUUCUCCUCCUGCCUUUUGCUAAGUAUAUGUCUUGAUGACAAGCCUUCUGCUGAUGAGCUGUGUUUCUGGACCGAUCAUGGUAGAAGUCAAUUAACGUGUCCCUCACUUGGGGUUUCUCAAGGGUAUGUUACCACAAAGACUCUCAUACACCCUUUUUUCUGAUCUCCCUUUCCCAUUCUACACUUGUGUGCUGAAUCUGUUUAGCAUUAUAGUUAGUACACUUACACGUCCACUAAAAAGUGGAAAUUAAUUUAAUUACCAAUGAAGUAACAAGAAUUUAGUUUGGCAAUGGAUUUCUUCUAUAAUCCAAAGCCAAGUUACCUUUCCACUCAUGGUUCUAAAGAUUACUCAACUGUGUAAAUCAUCUGUGCCACAUGGAAUAACUCAAAGUAAGUUCUUUCACCCCCUACUCAUUCUAAGUACACCAAAUAAAACUCUGCCUCUUUUGGAGAGUUCAUACACUGUUCAGAGAAGGCUGUGAGGUAUUUAUGAUAUCUAAUCCAGAAGGAACUCAAGUGAUGUUUGUUUUAGAAAUAGAAAGCAAAGAAUGAUUAUGCUGCAAAUAUUAUCAUGAAGACAUUUAUAAAUAUAUUACAAAUGCAUGUUUCCCGCCAAAUAAUUGACAAAACACUAUUACUUGCCUUAAAAAUAAUGCACAAUUAAUGAAUGCAAGAAAUUAAACCUCCGUACCAUGAUUUUUAUAUUCAAAUAAUUUGCUUUUACCUGAAAAUGAACAUAUUUGAUGAAUUACUGUAGAGGUGAUGGAAUCACUGUAUAAACUUACUGCAAAAAGAAGAUACUUUUCUCCUUCCAUCUUUAACCUCUUAAAAAAAUUCCUCUGGUGCAAUGAUUAUAACAUAAAAUGAAACACUAAUGAAA
rnacentral:lncRNA from 1 species